rnacentral:rRNA from 1 species
AAUGAACGCUGGCGGUAUGCCUAACACAUGCAAGUCGAACGGCAGCACAGUGACAACUUGCUCUUACGGGCGGCGAGUGGCGGACGCGUGCCGAAUACAUCGGAAUCACCUUCUUCGUGGGGGGUAACGUCGGGAAACUUACGCGAACACAGCAUACGACCUACUUGUGAAAGCACGGGAUCGUAAGACCUUGCGCGAUUGGAUAAGCCGAUCUGGGCUUAGCUAGUUAGCAGGGUAAAGGCCUACAAAGGCGACGAUCCAUAGCUGGUCUGAGAGGAUGAUCAGCCACACUGGGACUGAGACACGGCCCAGACUCCUACGGGAUGCAGCAGUGGGGAAUAUUGGACAAUGGGCGAAGGCCUGAUCCAGCAAUGCCGCGUGAGUGAUGAAGGCCUGAGGGAUGUAAAGCUCGUUUACCCGGGAUGAUAAUGACAGUACCGGGAGAAUAAGCUCCGGCUAACUCCGUG